rnacentral:snRNA from 1 species
AUGCUUCAGCAGCACGUAUACUGAAAUUGGAGCGAUACAGAGAAGCUUAGCAUGGCCUCUGUGCAAGGAUGACACAAAUUCAUGAAGCAUUCCAUAUAAUU